UAUUUACCUGGACCUGGGAAAGUAAUUCUCAUCUGAAAACCAGGUGUCUCUGGUUCUUCCACUAAGAUUGAUUGCUUUGAGUGUCAGCCAGCCCAGGCUGAGCAUUCCUGAGUAAUUAGGAUUCACUUCAUUGGCAGGCGAGUGCUGACCUCACCUUGCAAAGCUCUCUGAAGUGUCUGAGCAGAGGGUCCACUCCUCCCCGGCAUACCUUUGCAGCAAUAUCCUGGCAGAUACUUUAUGUCAUGUUGCCAUGAACGGCAUUGUUCUGCCCCAAGCCCCAGGCUACUGGAAAAAAUGGUUGAAGACCUGAAAACUGUGACCCCUGUUGCCUAGCAACUGAGAAGCUCAGCCUCAACCCCGGGUGGGGGAGAUGAUGGAGAAAGCUUCCAAGAUCAUCCCCAUAUAUAGCUGUUCGAGACCUCAAUUUAUUGAACCUAAUGGAGAUGAGUGACAGAAUGGUGAGACUGAUGAUGAUUAUGAUGUGCAGCUUCACUGAGGUCAUGGGCUUGGUUAAUUCCCUUCCAAAGGGAUGGAAGGAGAGAAAGAGAGCAAGAAGGACAUAUGCUGAUUUCACACAACUGGCUGACUUAACAGGUGUUCAAGCGUUUGAGCACCUGGAGUAGAGAUGAAUCUGAGAUGGGGGGUAGCUGCAUCAGCCCCAUGCAAUGCACACUGGCUGAUGUCUUGAAGCUCUUUAGAUUACACUUUUGCAUUUGCUUCUACAGUGGAGAAUAAUACAGUGAGGACAUCAGGGAC
rnacentral:lncRNA from 1 species